CAAUGCCACAGCAGUUGACCAUAUGUAUGAGAGAGUUUUUCAAUCUUAAAGACUGCUACCUGCUACGCAUCUACUAAGGGAAACCCUUGCUUCCUAUGACAGAGAAAAUUUUCUCCUGAGACACCCGACGGUUAAAAUUCUCCUAACAAGCUGUUUUCGCGAGGAGCAUGAUCAAAAUUGGUAACAUGAAGACAUCGAAAGUAUUCCGUCUAGCUGUUCUGCUUGUAUUCUUGGCAACUUGUACGGAAUUAUCGACUGGUUUACCAACAUCGUUAGCAGAUAAAGAAAGUCUAAGGUCUCUUCCUUGUGAAGAUAGCUCAGACAAAUACUACUGUUUCUAUGAGAUCGCACUGGAGGAUGCUUGUGAUGUAAAGCCGUUUGUAAUGAUGAAACAAUGCAAAUUUUCCUGUGGCUUCUGUUAGUCAUAAAUGGAAACUGUUGUUUAACCGGCUACAUAAUGCUUAUUCGACUGAAUAAAUAACUUAUUGUAUAAGAUAUAGUUUAGGCAUCUUUCAAAGAUAUUCUAUUCGUGGACCGUUUCAAAUUCAAAUGUAAAAUAUACUGAUAAGUGAUAUUCAUUGUCUUACGUAUUUUAAAAUGACUCAGAAAUAAAUCAGAAGUCAAUCACAGCGAGGAAAAUUACCAGGAGACAACGGGAACUCGAAGAACAAGCAAGCUACUAGAAGCGUGGGAAAACACGUGCUUGGUUUUAGUUUUGCUAAGUCGUGCUUGGUUUUAGUUUUGAAUCUGAUUGGUUGAGAAAAUGGCAAUAGUUUUCAGGACCAAUCUCAUAACGAAAUACAGUAAAACUAA